rnacentral:rRNA from 1 species
CUGCGAAUGGCUCAUUAAAUCAGUUAUCGUUUAUUUGAUAGUACCUUACUACUUGGAUAACCGUGGUAAUUCUAGAGCUAAUACAUGCUAAAAACCUCGACUUCGGAAGGGGUGUAUUUAUUAGAUAAAAAACCAAUGCCCUUCGGGGCUCCUUGGUGAUUCAUAAUAACUUAACGAAUCGCAUGGCCUUGUGCCGGCGAUGGUUCAUUCAAAUUUCUGCCCUAUCAACUUUCGAUGGUAAUGUAGUGGAUUACCAUGGUUUCAACGGGUAACGGGGAAUUAAAUCCUAGUUCUCAAUUGGGGCUGCUUCGGCAGCAUUAAGUCUAMGCUGUCAUGUGUUGCACUGACAGUACUAGGCGACAUACCUGGUUGCGGGGACCUCCUGUUAGGUCUGUAGUACCGGGUGCUGGGGUAACACUCCACACCUACUGGUUAUAAGCUACAGAAUAGGGACAAUCCGCAGCGGAUCUGGCUAUCGCUAGACCGUUCAACGCUCGCUAAGGUAUGGGCUCUGAUAGGGCUUAAGGUACGGGCUAUUCCCACCGGAGACGGUGCCCCUAGCUACCAGCUGUGCAACGCUGCAAGCUAGGGGGUGACAGCUUCUGUCUGGUACAAAAGUAGGGUUCGACUCCGGAGAGGGAGCCUGAGAAACGGCUACCACAUCCAAGGAAGGCAGCAGGCGCGCAAAUUACCCAAUCCCGACACGGGGAGGUAGUGACAAUAAAUACUGAUACAGGGCUCUUUUGGGUCUUGUAAUUGGAAUGAGUACAAUUUAAAUCCCUUAACGAGGAACAAUUGGAGGGCAAGUCUGGUGGACCUAGUCCUUGCUGACGCCAGAAAGAGUGAGAUCACUAGUCGACUGUACAAUAUCUUUGGGAAUGCAGCGGCAAGACAACCUGGAUCGGAGGAGGCUAAGGCGAAAGCUAUGCUGACCCCGAGCUGAGCUCCCUCGAAGUAAUUCUUGGGUAGCCAGUGUAGAGCGGGCAAAGGUGUCGGUUGCCUACAUUCUGUAGGUAGCUUAAGGUACGUGCCGUCCCGUGCGAAAGCACGCCUCGAGUAGGAGCUCCCAAAGAGUAAAUACCCUGAGGACACGCUGCUAGGCAGCGUGUGGACUCUCUAAACGGCCAGCAGCCGCGGUAAUUCCAGCUCCAAUAGCGUAUAUUAAAGUUGUUGCAGUUAAAAAGCUCGUAGUUGAACCUUGGGCCUGGCUGGUCGGUCCGCCUCACCGCGUGCACUGAUCCGGCCGGGUCUUUCCUUCUGGGGAGCCGCAUGCCCUUCACUGGGUGUGUCGGGGAACCAGGACUUUUACUUUGAAAAAAUUAGAGUGUUCAAAGCAGGCCUAUGCUCGAAUACAUUAGCAUGGAAUAAUAGAAUAGGACGUGUGGUUCUAUUUUGUUGGUUUCUAGGACCGCCGUAAUGAUUAAUAGGGAUAGUCGGGGGCAUCAGUAUU